rnacentral:misc_RNA from 1 species
UUUUAUGUUGAAAAAAGAUCGGAAAGAAUUCGAGAGAAAAAAAGGCUGGUCAUUGACUAUAAGCCCUUAAAUCAUUUCUUAAUGGAUGACAAAUUUCCACUUCUCAAGAUCAAUUCUCUGUUCACUCAUUUACAAGAAGCACAUAUCUUCUUAAAGUUUGAUCUUAGAGCAAGAUUUUGGCAGCUAUGAAUUGAUUCAGCAGAAAGAUACAAGACAAAAUUUUGUAUUCCUAAUGUUCAAUAUUAGUGGAUCGUAAUGCCUUUUGGGCUUAAAGUUGCUCCCUCACUAUUCCAAAAGGCCAUGGUUCAAAUCUUCGAGCCUAUUCUUCAUAGUGCCCUAAUCUACAUUGAUGAUAUUCUGCUAUUUUCAAAAAAUAGUUUAGCCCAUAAACAACUCUUGGCCCAAUUUCACUCUUUGGUUCAACAAUAUGGGAUUAUGCUAUUUGAAAAGAAGAGCU